UACGUAGGGUGCGAGCGUUAAUCGGAAUUACUGGGCGUAAAGCGUGCGCAGGCGGUUCGCCAAGUCAGGUGUGAAAUCCCCGGGCUUAACCUGGGAAUUGCGCUUGAAACUAGCGAGCUUGAGUGUGGCAGAGGGGGGUGGAAUUCCACGUGUAGCAGUGAAAUGCGUAGAGAUGUGGAGGAACACCGAUGGCGAAGGCAGCCCCCUGGGUCAACACUGACGCUCAUGCACGAAAGCGUGGGGAGCAAAC
rnacentral:rRNA from 1 species